rnacentral:rRNA from 1 species
GACGAAGGUGGCGACCGUUGUUCGGAAUCACUGGGCAUAAAGAGCUCGUAGGCGGUGAGAAAAGUAGGGUGUGAAAUCCCUCGGCCCAACCGAGGAACUGCGCUCUAAACUGUCUUGCUUGAGGACCGAAGGGGACCACGGAAUUCCUGGUGGAGCGGUGAAAUGCGUUGAUAUCAGGAGGAACACCGGCGGCGAAGGCGGUGGUCUGGUCGGUUUCUGACGCUGAGGAGCGAAAGCUAGGGGAGCAAACGGGAUUAGAUACCCCGGUAGUCCUAGCCGUAAACGAUGGGCACUAGGUAGGGGGGUACCCAAUGCCUCCCUGCUGGAGUUAAUAUAUUAAGUGCCCCGCCUGGGGAGUAUAGUCGCAAGGCUG